GCAGCGCGGACUUCGGUCUGGCGGCGAGUGGCGAACGGGUGANUANUACAUCGGAACGUACCCUGUUGUGGGGGAUAACUAGUCGAAAGAUUAGCUAAUACCGCAUACGACCUGAGGGUGAAAGCGGGGGACCGCAAGGCCUCGCGCAGCAGGAGCGGCCGAUGUCUGAUUAGCUAGUUGGUGGGGUAAAGGCCCACCAAGGCGACGAUCAGUAGCUGGUCUGAGAGGACGAUCAGCCACACUGGGACUGAGACACGGCCCAGACUCCUACGGGAGGCAGCAGUGGGGAAUUUUGGACAAUGGGGGCAACCCUGAUCCAGCAAUGCCGCGUGUGUGAAGAAGGCCUUCGGGUUGUAAAGCACUUUUGUCCGGAAAGAAAACGCUCUGGUUAAUACCUGGGGUGGAUGACGGUACCGGAAGAAUAAGCACCGGCUAACUACGUGCCAGCAGCCGCGGUAAUACGUAGGGUGCGAGCGUUAAUCGGAAUUACUGGGCGUAAAGCGUGCGCAGGCGGUUUUGUAAGACAGGCGUGAAAUCCCCAAGCUCAACUUGGGAAUUGCGCUUGUGACUGCAAGGCUAGAGUAUGUCAGAGGGGGGUAGAAUUCCACGUGUAGCAGUGAAAUACGUAGAGAUUGGGAAGAACACCAGUGGCGAAGNCGGCUAUCUGGACGGUUUCUGA
rnacentral:rRNA from 1 species